rnacentral:rRNA from 1 species
CCCCAGUAAACGGCGGCCGUAACUAUAACGGUCCUAAGGUAGCGAAAUUCCUUGUCGGGUAAGUUCCGACCUGCACGAAUGGCGUAAUGAUGGCCAGGCUGUCUCCACCCGAGACUCAGUGAAAUUGAACUCGCUGUGAAGAUGCAGUGUACCCGCGGCAAGACGGAAAGACCCCGUGAACCUUUACUAUAGCUUGACACUGAACAUUGAGCCUUGAUGUGUAGGAUAGGUGGGAGGCUUUGAAGUGUGGACGCCAGUCUGCAUGGAGCCAACCUUGAAAUACCACCCUUUAACGUUUGAUGUUCUAACCUAGGCCCAUAAACUGGGUCGGGGACCGUGUCUGGUGGGUAGUUUGACUGGGGCGGUCUCCUCCUAAAGAGUAACGGAGGAGCACGAAGGUUGGCUAAGCAUGGUCGGACAUCAUGCGGUUAGUGCAAAGGCAUAAGCCAGCUUGACUGCGAGAGUGACGGCUCGAGCAGGUACGAAAGUAGGUCUUAGUGAUCCGGUGGUUCUGAAUGGAAGGGCCAUCGCUCAACGGAUAAAAGGUACUCCGGGGAUAACAGGCUGAUACCGCCCAAGAGUUCAUAUCGACGGCGGUGUUUGGCACCUCGAUGUCGGCUCAUCACAUCCUGGGGCUGAAGUAGGUCCCAAGGGUAUGGCUGUUCGCCAUUUAAAGUGGUACGCGAGCUGGGUUUAGAACGUCGUGAGACAGUUCGGUCCCUAUCUGCCGUGGGCGUUGGAAGAUUGAGAGGGGUUGCUCCUAGUACGAGAGGACCGGAGUGAACGCACCACUGGUGUUCGGGUUGUCAUGCCAAUGGCAUUGCCCGGUAGCUAAGUGCGGAAGAGAUAACCGCUGAAAGCAUCUAAGCGGGAAACUUGCCUCGAGAUGAGUCUUCCCUGUCGCUUUAAG